AAUGAAGUGCCUGAAUAAAGGAUUAUCUUGAUAGGAUAAAUAAUGUAUUUUCAAUAUACCUUCAUUA
rnacentral:tRNA from 1 species